AUGAAAUUCUAUUAUACCAAAGGGACUCGGUAAAGGCGAAGGCAGCCCUCUAUGUAAAAACUGACGUUGAAGGACGAAGGCACAGAGCACAAACAGGAUUAGAUACCCAAGUAGUCUUUGCAGUAAAUGAUGAAUGUCAUAGGUUAGAUUAAGCUUUAAUUAAUUAGUUUAUCAGUAAUGAACUAACUAUUAAACAAUAUUUAGUCUAUAAAUGAAAGUGUAAGCAUUCCACCUCAAGAGUAAUGUGGCAACGCAGGAACUGAAAUCACUAGACCGUUUCUGACACCAGUAGUGAAGUAUGUUGUUUAAUUCGAUGAUCCACGAAAAACCUUACCACAAUUUGAAUAUUUUACAGGAGUUGCACGGCUGUUUUCAGUUAAUGUUGUGAAACUGUGGUUUCCAUGAAAUUAACGCAAUCCCUGGCUUUAUUUUUUUUUUAUUACGAUAAAGCAUUUGAUCCAGGAUUUGGAAAGAAAAAGGGGACAAAGACAAGUCAUCAUGGCCUUGAUAUUGUGGGCUAUAGACGUGCCACAUAUUCCUACACAAAGAGAUGCAAAAAUGUGAAUUUAAGCUAAUCUCUAAAAAUAGGAUAUAAAUUUUAAGGAUUAUAGUCUGAAACUCGACUAUAUGAAUAAGUAAUUACUAGUAAUCGUGAAUCACCAUGUCACGGUGAAUUUACCUUGGAUUGGUACUAACCACUCGUCACAUGCUGAAAAGAGCAUGCGCAAUAAGUUUGCUUUCUUGAUGAUCAGUAAAAAUAAUAAGCAGGUUCUAUAUUCUAUUAUUAAG
rnacentral:rRNA from 1 species